GCCGUGGCUCAAUGGUAGAGCAUCUGCUUUCCAUCCAGAAGGUCCCCGGUUCAAUCCCUGGCAUCUCCA
rnacentral:tRNA from 1 species